GAUGAACGCUAGCUACAGGCUUAACACAUGCAAGUCGAGGGGCAGCAUGGUCUUAGCUUGCUAAGGCCGAUGGCGACCGGCGCACGGGUGAGUAACACGUAUCCAACCUGCCGUCUACUCUUGGACAGCCUUCUGAAAGGAAGAUUAAUACAAGAUGGCAUCAUGAGUCCACAUGUUCACAUGAUUAAAGGUAUUCCGGUAGACGAUGGGGAUGCGUUCCAUUAGAUAGUAGGCGGGGUAACGGCCCACCUAGUCUUCGAUGGAUAGGGGUUCUGAGAGGAAGGUCCCCCACAUUGGAACUGAGACACGGUCCAAACUCCUACGGGAGGCAGCAGUGAGGAAUAUUGGUCAAUGGGCGAGAGCCUGAACCAGCCAAGUAGCGUGAAGGAUGACUGCCCUAUGGGUUGUAAACUUCUUUUAUAAAGGAAUAAAGUCGGGUAUGCAUACCCGUUUGCAUGUACUUUAUGAAUAAGGAUCGGCUAACUCCGUGCCAGCAGCCGCGGUAAUACGGAGGAUCCGAGCGUUAUCCGGAUUUAUUGGGUUUAAAGGGAGCGUAGAUGGAUGUUUAAGUCAGUUGUGAAAGUUUGCGGCUCAACCGUAAAAUUGCAGUUGAUACUGGAUAUCUUGAGUGCUGUUGAGGCAGGCGGAAUUCGUGGUGUAGCGGUGAAAUGCUUAGAUAUCACGAAGAACUCCGAUUGCGAAGGCAGCCUGCUAAGCUGCAACUGACAUUGAGGCUCGAAAGUGUGGGUAUCAAACAGGAUUAGAUACCCUGGUAGUCCACACGGUAAACGAUGAAUACUCGCUGUUUGCGAUAUACUGCAAGCGGCCAAGCGAAAGCGUUAAGUAUUCCACCUGGGGAGUACGCCGGCAACGGUGAAACUCAAAGGAAUUGACGGGGGCCCGCACAAGCGGAGGAACAUGUGGUUUAAUUCGAUGAUACGCGAGGAACCUUACCCGGGCUUAAAUUGCAGAUGAAUUACGGUGAAAGCCGUAAGCCGCAAGGCAUCUGUGAAGGUGCUGCAUGGUUGUCGUCAGCUCGUGCCGUGAGGUGUCGGCUUAAGUGCCAUAACGAGCGCAACCCUUGUUGUCAGUUACUAACAGGUUCUGCUGAGGACUCUGACAAGACUGCCAUCGUAAGAUGUGAGGAAGGUGGGGAUGACGUCAAAUCAGCACGGCCCUUACGUCCGGGGCUACACACGUGUUACAAUGGGGGGUACAGAGGGCCGCUACCACGCGAGUGGAUGCCAAUCCCAAAAACCUCUCUCAGUUCGGACUGGAGUCUGCAACCCGACUCCACGAAGCUGGAUUCGCUAGUAAUCGCGCAUCAGCCACGGCGCGGUGAAUACGUUCCCGGGCCUUGUACACACCGCCCGUCAAGCCAUGGGAGCCGGGGGUACCUGAAGUGCGUAACCGCGAGGAGCGCCCUAGGGUAAAACUGGU
rnacentral:rRNA from 1 species